rnacentral:rRNA from 1 species
UAUCUAAGGUUUCCAGAGUAAAGCUGAUCUGCUCUGGGUAAGUCGGGGCCUAAGGCGAGGUCGAAAGACGUAGUCGAUGGAUAACAGGUUGAAAUUCCUGUACUAUCCUGUAACAGAACUGUGGGGACACAGGCAGAGAGCGUGAGCCGGGAAUGGAAAGACCGGUACAAGCGAGGUAGGAGUAGAGUUGGCAAAUCCGCUCUUUAAUCUGAAGACGUGAUGUGGACUGAAAAUAAGUAGGGAAGCACGUGAGCUGACUGUCAAGAAAAGCCGCUAUUGUUUGCAGGAUACCCGUACCGUAAACCGACACAGGUGGAUGAGGAGAGAAUCCUAAGGCCGACGGGAGAAGCAUUGUUAAGGAACUCGGCAAAAUGACUCCGUAACUUCGGGAGAAGGAGUGCCAGUAAGAUGGCCGCAGAGAAUUGGCCCAAGCAACUGUUUAGCAAAAACACAGGUCUAUGCAAAACCGAAAGGUGAGGUAUAUGGGCUGACGCCUGCCCGGUGCUGGAAGGUUAAGGGGAGAGGUUAGCGCAAGCGAAGCUUUGAACUUAAGCCCCAGUAAACGGCGGCCGUAACAAUAACGGUCCUAAGAUAGCGAAAUUCCUUGUCGGGUAAGUUCCGACCCGCACGAAAGGCGUAAUGAUUUGGGCACUGUCUCAACAAUGCACCCGGUGAAAUUGAAAUACCAGUGAAGGUGCUGGUUACCUGCGCCAGGACGGAAAGACCCCAUGGAGCUUUACUCCAGCUUGAUACUGGGAUUCGGUAUUGCAUGUACAGGAUAGGUGGGAGGCUAGGAAAUGGUAACGCCAGUUGCCAUGGAGCCGAUGUUGGGAUACCACCCUUGCAGUACUGGGUUUCUAACCAGCAGCCGUGAUCCGGCUGGGGGACAAUGUCAGGUGGGGAGUUUGACUGGGGCGGUCGCCUCCGAAAGGGUAUCGGAGGCGCUCAAAGGUCCCCUCAGAAUGGUUGGAAACCAUUCGAAGAGUGCAAAGGCAGAAGGGAGCUUGACUGCGACACCGACGGGUGGAGCAGGUACGAAAGUAGGACUUAGUGAUCCGGUGGUAUAAAGUGGGAUUGCCAUCGCUCAACGGAUAAAAGCUACCCUGGAUAACAGGCUUAUCACUCCCAAGAGUUCACAUCGACGGAGUGGUUUGGCACCUCGAUGUCGGCUCAUCGCAUCCUGGGGCUGAAGUAGGUCCCAAGGGUUGGGCUGUUCGCCCAUUAAAGCGGUACGCGAGCUGGGUUCAGAACGUCGUGAGACAGUUCGGUCCCUAUCCGGCGUGGGCGUAAGAUAUUUGAGAGGAGCUGUCCUUAGUACGAGAGGACCGGGAUGGACUGGCCGCUGGUGUAUCUGUUGUCUUACCAAAGGCAUAGCAGAGUAGCCAAGCCGGGAAGGGAUAAACGCUGAAGGCAUCUAAGCGUGAAGCCCCCCUCAAGAUGAGAUAUCUCAUAACGUCAAGUUAGUAAGACCCCUUGAAGACGACGAGGUAGAUAGGGCAGAGGUGGAAGUGUGGUAACACAUGGAGCUGACUGUUACUAAUAGGUCGAGGGCAUAACG